UACGAAGGGGGCGAGCGUUGUUCGGAUUUACUGGGCGUAAAGAGCGCGCAGGCGGUCGUUCAAGUCGAGUGUGAAAGCCCCCGGCUCAACUGGGGAGGGUCACUCGAUACUGAUCGGCUCGAAGGCAGGAGAGGGAAGCGGAAUUCCCGGUGUAGUGGUGAAAUGCGUAGAUAUCGGGAGGAACACCAGUGGCGAAGGCGACUACCUGGCCUGUUCUUGACGCUGAGGCGCGAAAGCUAGGGGAGCAAACGGG
rnacentral:rRNA from 1 species